rnacentral:tRNA from 1 species
GGACCCUUAGCUCAGCCGGAAGAGCAGCCGACUUCUAAUCGGCAGGCCAUUGGUUCAAGUCCAAUAGGGUCCACCA